CCUUCGAUAGCUCAGUUGGAAGAGCGUGGGACUGUAAUGGGUUAAUUAUUACGUAAUCCCGAGGCCGCUGGUUCGAUCCCGGCUCGAAGGA